UGUAAAAAGUGGGAGAAACCCAUCUCUCCUCCCGUAUCCUCUCUCCUCCUCAUCUUUUGAGCCGCAACAGGAGCCCCAUUAAACAGCAAGCCGACGACUGCCGAGUGCCGGCGCAACAGCUCUGUCGUCCACGGGUCACCAAAGGCUCUCAAACGACACAUCCAGAAUGCUCUUACCGUCCUUUAUCCAAUCCCCAAGUUAGUUUCUAUAAAUUCGUAGGCGAUUUUCCUCAACUUCAAAUUUAAGAAACGGUGACCCAGGGUUUUCCGGCCAACUUCCGGCCAUAUCGCCGGAAUUGGAGCUCGACCCAAGUGGUAGAAAUGAUCCUCUUCUCGUGGGCUGUUCUCCAAUCCUUAAAAGAUUGCAAGUCUUUAAUUGUGAUCCUUGAAAUAUAUCUGUGAUCGGAGCAGUCUGCCCCCACCACCCUCCUCAUAAUUUGCUUCGGAACUCCUUCCCCUCUCCCUCUCUCGUUCAGCAAAGCCAUUGCUCGAAACUGACACACAAAUAAAGACAGUGAUCGAGGGAGGAGGGAGACAUUGAUAUUUUGAUUGAGGAUAGAGAAAAAACAUCUCCACCUGCUCUAUAACCCCACCAUGUUUGAUCUCUGAAUGCCGCAACUUUAACACUUCACCAUUUCACGCCAUUUCUCUUUCUGGGUUUCACGAAUGUCAGCUCCCGAGACAAUCCACCACCGCCGUUUGGCCACCGGAGGCAGUGGCGCGUCGGACUCAGAUGGCUCUGACGACAGCCAGUGUUGUUCAGUGGAGAGAGUGGGGUUUCGGAGGUGAAGAAGGUGGUGCAUUUGAGUAAAGUUGAGAGAAAUUGCAGGAAUGACUUGGGUUUGGAGGGAGGUGGUGGGACCGACCGACCCUGCCUCUGGGUCCCGAUUGACUUGGGGUGUUCUUGCAAGGGGGAUUUGGGUGCUGCUCAUAAGCAAUGUGCUGAGACUAAGUUCAAGAUCAAGGGAGAUACUUGAGUACAAAAAUUUUCAGAUUUAAUUUAUUAUUUUCUUUGACUUUUGGUGUCUCUGCUUGAAAUUAUGAACACCCAUUUGCUGGAUUGUGAAUGUUUGUUAUGCUUGCGUGUUUAAUGAUAGUCCGAAAACUUUAGGAUUAUGUUUUGUUCUGUUUCUGCAUUGAAGUGCAAGCACAUGGAUGUAAUUGGUUUCCGGAGUCGCUCUUUCA